GAUGAAGAACGUAGCGAAAUGCGAUAAUUAAUGUGAAUUGCAGAAUUCCGUGAAUCAUCGAGUCUUUGAACGCACAUUGCGCCUCAUGGCAUUCCGUGAGGCAUGCCCAUCUCAGCGUUAGAAAAUAUUCUCAAAUUUUAGUUUUGUGCUAAAAUUUGGAUCAUGUCAAGGAAGCUAUUACUAUUAUUGUGAUCGCUCUUUGGAAAUUGAUAGGUCUUUGAGUUGCUACUCAUAGAACGUGAUGAAUCUUUCUACGUUCUAUUGUAAUUCACUCUGGUAGUCCUAAAACUUGUAUGCCUGUGGCAUAUCUUGUAAUUUGACCUGAGAUUGGGUAGGGAUACCCGCUGAACUUAAGCAUAUCAAUAAGCGGAGGA
rnacentral:misc_RNA from 1 species